GUUCUCUCCUUCCUUCGGGCCUUGAACUGAGAAGCUUUGAUUUUAUCAUUGGUUUCUGCCGAGCUGGGCUGUGAGAUCGAAGACUCUUGCAGCUGAGCCGCGGUGUAAGAAUCACAAAGACAAGAUGUCGAAGGGCAGCAGCCUCUGACUUGAAGAAUAAGAGCCUGGACCUGUGAUGUUUUUGGUUGUAUAAUGAGUAAGUGAACCAAGGAACCACUGAACCAGAUAAUGAAUCAGUGUUGGACCUGAUUGCAUUAGUACUGUUAUAAUGCUGAUUGAGAAUACGUCUGCAGUAAAGCCAAUAAUACCGCAAUAGCACUUGAAAAAGAUGGAUUUGACAAAUCUCCUACAGACAUCAUUCAAAGAAAGGAGAACAAUAGACGAUCACCCAAAUUACAAGGGCCCUGAUGAAACAUUUUACUUAUUUUCAAGUACUUUAUGAUUAAAUUCAAAAGAAGACAACUAAUAAUAGGCAAGGAGCAAGAAUUAAAAUA